rnacentral:ncRNA from 2 species
GAGGAACCCGGUGCGAGUCCGGGACGGUCCCGCCACUGUGACCCGGGCCUGCGGGCUCCGGGGAGUCAGGAGACUC